rnacentral:rRNA from 1 species
GACGAACGCUGGCGGCGUGCCUAAUACAUGCAAGUCGAACGAGAGCGACCGGUGCUUGCACUGGUCAAUCUAGUGGCGAAUGGGUGAGUAACACGUGGGUAACCUGCCCAUCAGAGGGGGAUAACAUCCGGAAACGGAUGCUAAAACCGCAUAGGUCUUCGAGCCGCAUGGCUUGAAGAGGAAAAGAGGCGCAAGCUUCUGCUGAUGGAUGGACCCGCGGUGCAUUAGCUAGUUGGUGAGGUAACGGCUCACCAAGGCCGUGAUGCAUAGCCGACCUGAGAGGGUGAUCGGCCACAUUGGGACUGAGACACGGCCCAAACUCCUACGGGAGGCAGCAGUAGGGAAUCUUCCGCAAUGGACGCAAGUCUGACGGAGCAACGCCGCGUGAGUGAAGAAGGUUUUCGGAUCGUAAAACUCUGUUGUUAGAGAAGAACAAGUGCUAGAGUAACUGUUAGU